rnacentral:rRNA from 1 species
CACGUAGGGUGCAAGCGUUAAUCGGAAUUACUGGGCGUAAAGCGUGCGCAGGCGGCUUUGCAAGACAGAUGUGAAAUCCCCGGGCUCAACCUGGGAACUGCAUUUGUGACUGCAUGGCUGGAGUGCGGCAGAGGGGGAUGGAAUUCCGCGUGUAGCAGUGAAAUGCGUAGAUAUGCGGAGGAACACCGAUGGCGAAGGCAAUCCCCUGGGCCUGCACUGACGCUCAUGCACGAAAGCGUGGGGAGCAAACAGG